rnacentral:lncRNA from 1 species
UUGCGAUAUCUUUGGCAGAGUGAUAAUGCUGUAUAAAGCAAGAACAAGUCCAAAUGAGAGAACUAUGAUAGAGGUCACUAAGGUUCUAUUGCAAAGCCUAUCUUCUUCAGUUAAAUGUUCUUAAGUUGGUCUACGGCAGAGACUGCAAGCAGGUGACUGUAACCUGAACUCCUAAAAUGAACUGUUUCUAUCUUGUUCUACAGGUGUAAAGUCAAAUAUGCUGAAUGGCUCUCCAUCAACAAAUUAAAGAGGCAAAUAUAAAAUCCAGAUUUUUCAGAUUCUGAAAGCACAAGAAAGUUACCUGGUGGAAAAAAAGUGAAGCGAUCUCCAGUGGAGAGGGACUCCGUCUUCUGUGGGCUUGCCUGAAGAACAGGGGACUUACCUACAUAUCAGAGAAAACAGAUCCAGUUUUAUGGAGAGAAAAGGUAACUGUGAAAUGGUCUUCAUAUUCCCCAUGAAGAAUAUACAGAGAAUUGAACUCUUAAAUAUGCUAUUGGCAGAAGGAGACAAGUUUUAAUUAUUGGGUAAGGAUUAUUUUAAUAUGUAUGUGAAUUGCUGACAUGAUCAUCCAUCUUUCUCCAAUUCUUGAAAAUGGUUUGAUUUACUUAAUAUUCAAUUGUAAUUUGUUUAUAUCAUUAAUUUAUUUGGCAUAUUC